AGAUUGAACGCUGGCGGCAUGCCUAACACAUGCAAGUCGAACGGGAGUAGCAAUACUCUAGUGGCGGACGGGUGAGGAAUACGUAGGAAUUUGCCCUUAAGUGGGGGAUAACCCGGGGAAACCCGGAUUAAUACCGCAUGACCUCGAAAGAGCAAAGUGGGGGAUCGCAAGACCUCACGCUUUUGGAGAAGCCUACGUCGGAUUAGCUAGUUGGUGAGGUAAUGGCUCACCAAGGCGACGAUCCGUAACUGGUCUGAGAGGGAUGAUCAGUCACACCGGAACUGAGACACGGUCCGGACUCCUACGGGAGGCAGCAGUGGGGAAUAUUGGACAAUGGGCG
rnacentral:rRNA from 1 species